UACGGGAGGCAGCAGUGGGGAAUAUUGGACAAUGGGCGAAAGCCUGAUCCAGCGACGCCGCGUGUGUGAAGAAGGCCUGCGGGUUGUAAAGCACUUUCGAUGGGAACGAAAUGUGCCGGGCUAAUACCCCGGCAAGCUGACGUUACUCAAUGAAGAAGCACCGGCUAACUCUGUGCCAGCAGCCGCGGUAAUACAGAGGGUGCGAGCGUUAAUCGGAAUUACUGGGCGUAAAGCGCACGUAGGUGGCGACGUAAGUCGGGUGUGAAAGCCCCGGGCUCAACCUGGGAAUUGCAUUCGAGACUGCAUUGCUGGAGUACGGAAGAGGAGGGCGGAAUUCCCGGUGUAGCGGUGAAAUGCGUAGAUAUCGGGAGGAACAUCAGUGGCGAAGGCGGGCCCUCUGGGUCCAGUACUGACACUCAAGUGCGAAAGCGUGGGGAGCAAACGAGGAUUAGGAUAACC
rnacentral:rRNA from 1 species